rnacentral:rRNA from 1 species
GAUUAACGCUGGCGGCGUGCAUAACACAUGCAAGUCGAACGAUGAAACUCAUUAGAUUUCUUCGGAAUGAAAAUGAAUGGAUUAGUGGCGAACGGGUGAGUAACGCGUGAGUAACCUGCCUUACACAAGGGGAUAGCCUCUGGAAACGGAGAAUAAUACCCUAUGAAACCAGACAAUCGCAUGAUAAUCUGGUCAAAAUGUUUAGUGGUGUAAGAUGGACUUGCGUCUGAUUAGCUAGUUGGUGAGAUAAAAGCUCACCAAGGCAACGAUCAGUAGCCGGCUUGAGAGAGUGUACGGCCACAUUGGGACUGAGACACGGCCCAGACUCCUACGGGAGGCAGCAGUGGGGAAUUUUGCACAAUGGGGGAAACCCUGAUGCAGCGACGCCGCGUGAUUUAGAAGGCCUUCGGGUUGUAAAAAUCUUUUGUAUAGGAAGAAAAUGACAUUACUACACGAAUAAGGUCCGGCUAAUUACGUG